rnacentral:rRNA from 1 species
AGUGAACGCUGGCGGUAGGCCUAACACAUGCAAGUCGAACGGCAGCACAGUAAGAGCUUGCUCUUACGGGUGGCGAGUGGCGGACGGGUGAGGAAUACAUCGGAAUCUACUUUUUCGUGGGGGAUAACGUAGGGAAACUUACGCUAAUGCCGCAUACGACCUACGGGUGAAAGUAGGGGAUCUUCGGACCUUGCGCGAUUGAAUGAGCCGAUGUCGGAUUAGCUAGUUGGCGGGGUAAAGGCCCACCAAGGCGACGAUCCGUAGCUGGUCUGAGAGGAUGAUCAGCCACACUGGAACUGAGACACGGUCCAGACUCCUACGGGAGGCAGCAGUGGGGAAUAUUGGACAAUGGGCGCAAGCCUGAUCCAGCCAUACCGCGUGGGUGAAGAAGGCCUUCGGGUUGUAAAGCCCUUUUGUUGGGAAAGAAAAGCAGCAGGUUAAUACCCCGCUGUUCUGACGGUACCCAAAGAAUAAGCACCGGCUAACUUCGUG